rnacentral:rRNA from 1 species
AUUGAACGCUGGCGGCAGGCUUAACACAUGCAAGUCGAGCGGAGAUGAGGUGCUUGCACCUUAUCUUAGCGGCGGACGGGUGAGUAAUGCUUAGGAAUCUGCCUAUUAGUGGGGGACAACAUUCCGAAAGGAAUGCUAAUACCGCAUACGUCCUACGGGAGAAAGCAGGGGAUCUUCGGACCUUGCGCUAAUAGAUGAGCCUAAGUCGGAUUAGCUAGUUGGUGGGGUAAAGGCCUACCAAGGCGACGAUCUGUAGCGGGUCUGAGAGGAUGAUCCGCCACACUGGACUGAGACACGGCCCAGACUCCUACGGGAGGCAGCAGUGGGGAAUAUUGGACAAUGGGGGAAACCCUGAUCCAGCCAUGCCGCGUGUGUGAAGAAGGCCUUAUGGUUGUAAAGCACUUUAAGCGUGGAGGAGGCUACUGAGACUAAUACUCUUGGAUAGUGGACGUUACUCGCAGAAUAAGCACCGGCUAACUCUGUGCCGGCCGCCGCAGUAA